rnacentral:rRNA from 1 species
UAACAACUCUCGGUAACGGAUAUCUCGGCUCUUGCAUCGAUGAAGAACGCAGUGAAAUGUGAUAAAUGGUGUGAAUUGCAGAAUCCCGUGAACCAUCGAGUCUUUGAACGCAAGUUGCGCCCGAGGCCAUCAGGCCAAGGGCACGCCUGCCUGGGCAUUGCGA